AUACGGAGGGGGCUAGCGUUGUUCGGAAUUACUGGGCGUAAAGCGCUCGUAGGCGGCUUGUUAAGUCGGAUGUGAAAGCCCCGGGCUCAACCUGGGAACUGCAUUCGAUACUGGCAGGCUAGAGUAUAGUAGAGGCAAGUGGAAUUCCGGGUGUAGCGGUGAAAUGCGUAGAUAUCCGGAGGAACAUCAGUGGCGAAGGCGACUUGCUGGACUAAUACUGACGCUGAGGAGCGAAAGCGUGGGGAGCAAACGGGAUUAGAAACCCCGGUAGUCC
rnacentral:rRNA from 1 species